AAUAGGUUAGUUCCAGAAAACGCAUAAAUAUGACAUGAAGUAUGCAUAAAACAUGUAGAUAUCAUCAAUAAUGUGGCAUGGAACAUAAGAAAUUAUCGAUACGUCGGAGACGUAUCACAGCUCCGCCCUCUGCUUGCAGCAGCGGCGUGCGACGCCAACAACAACGUCGUGAGGGGAUCAGGGGAUGGCGCGCUGGCCGGCGACGCGGAAAGCGGUCGUGGGCAAGCUCACGCGUGGAAGGGGCGUCGGCCGGUGGCGUGGUAGGCGAGCCCGCGCGGAGGAAGGGCUUGACGGUAGGAGGUGGGGCGAGCACCAGUGGCGGUCGGCGGAGGCGGAUUGGGUGAGGUCUGCAACGCGUGUGAGAUUGAAGACGUGAGAAAGAAAACGAGUACAUGGAGGAGGAGCUAUGUGAGACUACUCAUAGUGGGAGUAACAUAGGUAGUAACAUCACACAUCUCAAGGCAUUUUAGUGACAUGGCAUAUCAAUAAAUGAAGAAAGAGAGUGAGGUGGUAACUAGCUAUGUUACCAUAACAUCACACACCCUAAGACAUGAUGAGUCUACAACAUAAUAUAUGACACAAUGCAUGAUACCACAUAUAAGUUACUUCCCACUAUGGAGAUAGUAACUUAGACUAGUAACAUGACAUAUGUUACUACUCUAAAUUACUCCCCACUAUGACCAGCCUGAGGGGAUCAGGUCGUGUGUGGGUUCCACCCAUCGCUGUCCUCCCGUGGACGACACACGUCACACGCAGAAGGCGGAGGAAGCGAAUGCGGCCGAUCCUCGAGUGAUUGGCAGUGUUUUCCAAGCGAAAUUGCCUAUAUACAUUACUUUUAUGAAAAAAAAGUUGGAAGAUUCAGGGCUGUUCUGUCCCCAUCCUCUACAUGCGGCUCACAAUUUAUAGUUGCUACUUAUGUUAGCAUGUCAUUGUGUGUGUGGGUGUGGGUUGGAGAUCCAUUUUCUAAAGAUUACAAACUGAUUGAAUUAUAAUCAGCUCUACAAAGAAAAACAUAUUAUGACCCACAUGAACGUGGCUAUCAAGACCUCUAAGACCUAGCGCACUAUAGGUGGCGCGACGAAGCGCGCAUAUCCAUCUAGUACCAUGUAUCCCUUUGAAGUUUCCAAAUAUUUCAGAGAUCGCCCAUCUAAUUACAAGCAUUCCCAAAACUGCUCCCCUCGUUAAUUCCAAGUAUUCAUUCUUGAUUUUUAGUAAUCCAAUUAUUUUAGUAGAUCUUGAGGACACUAAAUACUGUAGUUUGCUUCCUUCGAAGCAAAUUUUGACGCGUUUAGCGUUAAAUAGGAGUGCCCGCGAUUCGGCCGCCCCCCCUCCCCAAAUCCGCCGCCGCCAUCACUUGGCAGAUCGAUUCCGCUUCCACCCGACGAGCCUAUCUGUCGAGGCCGGCCGCCGGAAUUUCUGUCUGCGACGAUCGGUCGGGUAGAAGGGAUUGCCUGGCCCGACGAUGGAUGUGCACCCAGUCAGAUACGAGCUCGACUUCGAAGAUCUCAAGGCCACCGAGGGUUACAACCCGCCCCACGAUUUCCUUAUCCGUGUCUUGCCCCUCGACGCCGGCGGCGCCCUCCCUGGCGGAGGAGAAACCAGGGAGAUGCUCUGGUACGAGUAUCCUAGCCCCUUCGACUGGGAUCUGCAGCUCCAGGAAGAGAGCGACCGGCAGCUUCAGCUUGAGGAGGAGUGCCUGUGGCGGAGCCUUGAGGAGAGGGAGCGGCAGGGGCAGCAGCUUGAGGUUACACCGGCGGCGCCUUGUGGAGAGGGAGCGGCAGCAGCAGCAUCGGCCGGACAGCCAGAGCAGCGGCAGCGUCGGAAAAAGAGCCACAUGAAGCGUUUGGAUGUUGACGAACGGUGGCAGGUGCAGGAUGUACUCUACUUGGAGGACAUCUGGGCAAAUUCUUCAACCACAGAGUGCUGGGGUCUAGACCACGAGACGCCUUUAUGUUCUUCCUCUUCUCCAUCCAGAGAUGCGUCCAAGUCCGAGGAGCACCAAUUCCUGGACUUGGAGGAGCACCAAGUCCAUGUGAGGAUGUACGAGUACGAUGGCGCCAGCAUCCCGCGAUACUGUCUCUUCAAGAGCGAGGCCAACACCCAGGAGCUCCUGCUCGGAUUCCCCCUCAAAAUCCCCUACAUCAUCUAUGCUGGCCGCUGCAACCUCAAGCUUCAAGGCUACAAGCUUCGCUACGCCGACCUCUUCCCCAGCUUCCACAAGUGGAACUAUACAUGGGUGCGCCCGACCACUUACGAAGGCGACGAUCAAUAUGUCUACUUCUUCCGCGAGUUACUGGCGGAAGCGGAAUACACGAACACGAAAGAUCGAGUGCUGGCCAAGGCUAUCGCCAUCGCCAAUAAGGCUUUCCGGAAGAUGCUCUAUUUUCAGAUAGAGCUCGCCGUAGGCGAUUGCAUGAUGCUUCUUGAGGAGAAAGAAAAGUUCCAGCAGAGGUGUAACCUCUAUGGCUAUGUUGCUUCUGAAAUCUAUUUUAAGAACCAGAAAUAUGAGUCUGUGCUUGAGCGUGUAAAGCAUGGCCAUGAAGGGUUGUGCUACGAACUGACUGAGUUUGGAAGAGAUGCCAAUGAGGAUGAUGCAUGGGAGAUGCGUGCAUUCGUUGAUCACCUUGUAAGGUCUGCUCCUAUUGAGCUGCCUUCCACUACAAGGUCCAACCACGUGUAUAAGAAAUGGGUCUCUGAGCAGAUUACCGUGCAGUUCGAUUCAUAUUUUCACCUUUACCUAAAUUACCUUGUGGAGAAGAUUAAUAUGGCCCAAGAUCUUGAUCUGGCACCUGAGGAUACAAGUUUGUGAGAGAUACCAGAGUUAUAUCAAGUGGGACCUUACAACUCAAACCAUGAAGUUAGGACUGCAGUGGGUACGCGACUCUUUGGAUUUCUGUGAUUUUCCAUGCAUGUUUCCUAAUGGGUAUGAAAAACCGAUCUAUGCUUCAGUGCACUAUCUUUUAUUGAAAACAAUACUUGACUACUCAUCAUUUAGGCGCCGCUUGGUUCCCUGUGUUUUACUCAAAAACAGAGGUAAUUAUUACGGACCUACAGGCCACGCUAAAACUCCUACAUGCCCCGUAUCAUUCGACUCCGCGCGGUAUACAAAAGAUCAUUCCAAGUGGGCCCUUAUCGAUGUAAAGUUGUUUCCAUAGCAUCCUUACCAACAGUGUUUGUUAUGCAUGUGUUCUGACUUGUUGUUAGAUCAUUCAAAUUCUCCCAGUUCUAUAGUUUUAAAUCUCUAUGUUCUGUUACUCAUUGGAUGAAUAUCUGUUUCUAUAAUGGAGCCACUGAUUUUUAGUAUAUUGUUGUUCCUUAACAUUAACAUGAGGACAUAGGUAGGAAAAUGAUGUGUUCAAAUAACAGUCAUCAAAAGAAGAUUUGGAACCUAGGGAACUAACUUCAAGUCCUGCAAAAAUACCAAAUAAUCAUUGCAUCUGUUGGAGUGUAUAUUAUAUCUUUCAUGUGUAAGGAUUGUCCAGAAUUGAUAGUAAUUAUUUAUGUUUCCAAUUUUGCUGGUUGUCUGACAAUAAGGUUUUCAUAUAACUGAAAUAGGUGUUGUUUUCAAGCGUGAUGUUUCCUUUCAAAUUUUCUUUUCUCAAUGCAUGUCUCUUUCAAAGUGGUUCUACCGGUAGGCUUCAAUCUACCUAGAUCUCGAUGCGCCAUGUGAGAUUUCUCUCUAUAGAUUUUGGAGUGUGAGCAUGCCUUAUCUACCGAUACAUCAAAAUCUUGGUCAAAAUGUAUGUGUUGAUUACUACAGAUCUUCCAUUCAGCAUGGACCCUACUUAUUACAAGUUCAUUAUUACCAAUUUAGCAUCAUAGGUAUUCAGAUGACUGGUUAUAGCUUGGUCCUUUCCCUAUGCUUACAUACAAUAAUCAGCAAGUGUUAAAAGUACAACAAUAAAUUUGUUUACAGUGUUUAAUAUGGAACAAGAUAACAAAAGUAUAAGAGAGGUAAGAGCAUACAUGCAAGAUGCUGGAACAUAGCAACAUGAUAAUGGAUGUACAUCAGGAUGCAAUAGUUUUAAUAUCGUCUCCAGGGCUUCUAAUAUAGGGAUAAUGGGAAUGAAUUGAACUAUCGCUGGGCUCAGCAUACAGAUCAAGUUAGGGGUAGGUUUGAUCAUCAUCAAUAUCUGAGUACAAGCUGCUCAGAUCAUGAAAUGGUGGGAUUCAGUCUGCCCAGGUCGCUCUAAAAAAGAGAAGUUCUUGUUAACUACCGCUUGAAGACUUAAUUGAAGAAGAGAAUGGUGCCAACGAUUGGCACAACCACAAGCUACUUCAGAUGAAGCUUUCCCAUAUAGUCACUGCCUACUGGAGCUUAAUCUUUCUCACAUAACUUAUG